rnacentral:ncRNA from 1 species
AGGUAGAGGUGCGGCUGCGAUCAGUACCUGUAUGCGGGAUUACCAGUCCGAUGGCGUACAGCGAAAGGCAAGGCUGCCGAAGAACGGUUUCCGGUAAAUCCCGUUCUGGCUGCUGGUCGAACAGAUCAUCAGCUGUCAUCAUGCUUUAUGGUGGAGAGCUAUCGG